rnacentral:rRNA from 1 species
AUUGAACGCUGGCGGCAGGCCUAACACAUGCAAGUCGAACGCGAAAGUCCUGGAUGAGUAGAGUGGCGGACGGGUGAGUGACGCGUAGGAAUCUACCUAGUAGUGGGGGAUAACUUGGGGAAACUCAAGCUAAUACCGCAUACGCCCCAAGGGGGAAAGCGGAGGAUCUUCGGACUUCGUGCUAUUAGAUGAGCCCUGCGUAAAGAUUAGCUAGUUGGUAGGGUAAAGGCCUACCAAGGCGACGAUCUUUAGCUGUUCUGAGAGGAUGAUCAGCCACACUGGGACUGAGACACGGCCCAGACUCCUACGGGAGGCAGCAGUGGGGAAUAUUGGACAAU